rnacentral:misc_RNA from 1 species
AAGUCGUAACAAGGUUUCCGUAGGUGAACCUGCGGAAGGAUCAUUAUCGAUUUUAAUCAUCCAACAUUUUUUGAUACUAUUUUCUAAACAAAAAUAGUAUCAAAAAAUACACCAAUUUUAUCACUUAUAAAAUGUGAACUGUUGAAUAUCUUUACGUUUCUUUUUAAGGGAAGUUAGAGUACAUUAAAUUUGUGCUUUUAACGGAACUUGAAAGGAAAUGAAUUUAUUAUUACUAUUAACCAAUUGAACCGCUGAUAUAUAUUUAUAUAUAUAUUUGCUCUUUAAUAAACAAUUUAUUUAACUGUACUGAUUUAAAUAAUCAAACUAUCGUAAGAUAGUAUGAUUAAUUUCAUUACGAAAUAGAUUUAAAAGAACAACUCUUAGCAACGGAUAUCUUGGUUCUC